rnacentral:lncRNA from 1 species
CACCACGAAGCCCAGAAGGCCAAAGGAAGAAAAACAAAACAAAGAGAGUAAAACAAAACAACAAAAGAGAAAAUGUAUGCAUAGAAAGACGGAAGGCCAAAAAGAGCCCUAGGGAAGCUCUGCUCUUUCCGAUCUCGAAUUGUCUGCUUCGCCCCUUAUCCAGGACUGCCUCAGAUUUUCAACUUCUUCUUCUAGCUCUCCCUUUUUCAGCAGCGCAUCCUGGAGCGCCCGACGGAGUCGCUGGCUUUCGUUCUCCACCUCUCGACACCUCUUCCUCAGGACCUCGAAUUCUGCCUCAGCGUCCUUGACGGCCUGCUGCUCACACACCAGCUGGAUCUUCAACUGCUGCAGCUCAGCCUUCCCCUCCCCAAGGGCGACAGAAAGUCCUUCUGCAGUUCUUCUCAGGGAUUGGAGUUCAUUGGAGUCCCGAGAGGAAGCGAGCUGAGCCCUGUCAGCCAACUGCCUUUGAAGACGGGCGACUUCGUCGGUCGCCACCCUGAGUCUCCCUUUGUAUUCAUCCACCUGCCUACGCCAGCCGGCCCGAUGCACGUCAUAGCUCACCUCGGCAUCUUGAAGCUGCUGCUGAAGGUCGG